UCUUCAUUUUUCGUUGUCCAGUGGUUCAGUAGUCCGCAACCCUUUACCCUCAACAAAUCGAUACGCAUGUAUGUGUCCGCUCCGCUCCCGUUGUGUCGUAGUCGUGCGUCUUCCAGAGAAAAGAAAGGCGGUUGUUGUAUUGGUUUGGCUCUCGGAGCCCGGGAAAACGUCCACGACAACCGACGAAAUAGCGCGGCAUCUUGA
ensembl:ncRNA F57B7.9 ncRNA